GACGAACGCUGGCGGCGUGCUUAACACAUGCACGUCGAACGGUGAUGCUCCAGCUUGCUGGAGUGGAUCAGUGGCGAACGGGUGAGUAACACGUGAGCAACCUGCCCCAGACUCUGGAAUAAGCGCUGGAAACGGCGUCUAAUACUGGAUACGAAACUGGCCCGCAUGGGCAUGGUUUGGAAAGUUUUUCGGUUUGGGAUGGGCUCGCGGCCUAUCAGCUUGUUGGUGAGGUAAUGGCUCACCAAGGCGACGACGGGUAGCCGGCCUGAGAGGGCGACCGGCCACACUGGGACUGAGACACGGCCCAGACUCCUACGGGAGGCAGCAGUGGGGAAUAUUGCACAAUGGGCGAAAGCCUGAUGCAGCGACGCCGCGUGAGGGAUGACGGCCUUCGGGUUGUAAACCUCUUUCAGCAGGGAAGAAGCGAAAGUGACGGUACCUGCAGAAGAAGCACCGGCUAACUACGUG
rnacentral:rRNA from 1 species